GCCCUCGUAGCUCAAUGGAUAGAGCAGGCCCGUCCUAAGGGAAAGGUUGGCCGUUCGACUCGGCCCGAGGGCGCCA
rnacentral:tRNA from 1 species